rnacentral:rRNA from 1 species
AGGACGAACGCUGGCGGCGUGCCUAACACAUGCAAGUCGAGCGGGGACAUGCGACGGAAGUGAAGUUUCGGAUGGAGCUGAAGAUGUAUGUUCUAGCGGCGGACGGGUGAGUAACGCGUGAGCAACCUAUCCUUCACAGGGGGAUAACACAGCGAAAGUUGUACUAAUACCGCAUAAGACCACAUCGGGGCAUCCCGGAGGGGUCAAAGGAGCAAUCCGGUGAAGGGUGGGCUCGCGUCCGAUUAGAUAGUUGGUGGGUAACGGCCUACCAAGUCGACGAUCGGUAGCCGACCUGAGAGGGUGAUCGGCCACAUUGGGACUGAGACACGGCCCAAACUCCUACGGGAGGCAGCAGUGGGGAAUAUUGGGCAAUGGGGGAAACCCUGACCCAGCAACGCCGCGUGAGGGAAGAAGGUUUUCGGAUCGUAAACCUCUGUCCCAGGUGAAGAGAAAGAGACGGUAGCCUGGGAGGAAGCCCCGGCUAACUACGUGCCAGCCGCUGC